rnacentral:lncRNA from 1 species
GUGGCGUUGGUGACCCUUGGGUGGCGUUGGUGACCCACGGGUGGCACUGGGUGCCCUUGGGUGGCAUUGGGUGACCCACGGGUGGCACUGGGUGCCAUUGGGAGGCGUUGGUGAGCCAC